GAUGUGGGGGAAUGUCGUCUGACUCGAGACAACAGGUAAACUGAAGGAAUGGCCGGAGUUUAAGAGUUCUCUCGGACCAGGCUUCAUUCCCCUCAUC
rfam:Populus trichocarpa scaffold_15_contig_96, whole genome shotgun sequence.